ACUGUAGUGUAGUGUAGUUGCGCGAUGAUUCAAAGCAACCAAACUCCGCAGGUGGUCACGUUAUAUCACCGAGCUCCGUCUGUUCGGUCUCCCCGUGGCUGGCGCACGGACGCAUGCUCCGGAACGUCCGACGCUGUUUCUGUCCGUCAGCUGCCGCCGAGCAUGUCGAACCUUCAAGUUCCGCUGUCUUUUCAAAAUAAUGCGUUCACUCGACCACUUCCGUUGGAGCUUUGAACAUAUUCAUACAGUAAGAUGUACACUAAUUCGGUAUCGGAUCAUUUGGAAAACAUUGGCCUAAAAUAGUCUCACACCUAAAUGGAUGUGACAUCUGCUCAAAAACGUUUCUGCAAACAUCGCUCACCAUGAGAAGCUACUCAACUCACUUCAACGAAAGCACCCCCGACCCCCAAAAAAUCCCCACAUCUGGUCUUCAGGCGCAACCCCUCCCAGGCAUGAACCGGGCCCACCUCAAUGUUUUGUUUUGUUCCAGCAGC